rnacentral:rRNA from 1 species
AUUGAACGCUGGCGGCAUGCCUUACACAUGCAAGUCGAACGGCAGCACGGGUGCUUGCACCUGGUGGCGAGUGGCGAACGGGUGAGUAAUAUAUCGGAACGUACCUUAUCGUGGGGGAUAACGCAGCGAAAGCUGCGCUAAUACCGCAUACGCCCUGAGGGGGAAAGCGGGGGACCGUAAGGCCUCGCGCGAUUAGAGCGGCCGAUAUCUGAUUAGCUUGUUGGUGGGUAAAGCCCACCAAGGCGACGAUCAGUAGCUGGUCUGAGAGGACGAUCAGCCACACUGGGACUGAGACACGGCCCAGACUCCUACGGGAGGCAGCAGUGGGGAAUUUUGGACAAUGGGGGCAACCCUGAUCCAGCAAUGCCGCGUGAGUGAAGAAGGCC